UCCUAAUAUUGCUUCAUUUAGCCUCCGCGAAUUACGUAAAGUUUUUACUCAAAAUUAUUAGUGAAAUAGUGCCUAAUUAAACAAAUUAACACGAAAUUAUAUACAAUAUACAUGGAACAACACAUUGUGGCAUUUGCAGACUGAAAGUUAUAAAAAAUUCGUAAAGAGACUUUACAUAAGCACAAUUGUAGGCUAGUGCAAUUUAAUAAAUCGUUACGUGUCAUCGGUUUGAUGAACUCGAACGCAGGGUUAAACUCUAAUUAAAAUGCUAUUUUCUUUUAGCUAAUUUUUUCAAAAUAGGUAGGUACUGUUAACACGUAAAACCUGCUGUUCACCAUUCCCAACAGCAGUUCAAUCGAAUUAAGGUCGAUCCCGCGCAAUUUUGUAAACUCGUAGAUUAGCCUCGUAGCUUUAGGCGUGAAACUUCUCUAGAAUAUUUUUACCAUCACUAGGAUUUUCCAGUUAUUGUACUUUCUAAUUGAUACACUGAUCAAAUUAUAAAUCGUACAACUAUGAAAUUUAAUGUCCACAACGCAACGGAAGAGAAAAUUAAAGUAUAAGAGAUAACAGUCCUGUCUGACAUAAAAUGGUAAAAAAUCGAACGUGGGAAUAUAAAAAGCGCAUAGCUUGAGUAUUAAAUGAAAACGUAGCUAUCUUUUGACUUGGAAAUGUGGGGAAAGAGUUUGAAUUCUCCCUCAAGAUUUUCGAUCCCUUGCAGCCAAGGAUUCCCGAAAUUGGAAUGCGGUCGAUGUUUUUUUUUUUCUGUUAAAAAUUACGAUGGCAGGGAAUAAUAUUGGCAUUUUGUGUGAUGAAAAAAAUACUUUGGAUCCCAAUAUUGCGAAAAAAGACGGAGGAUUUAUUUUGAUGGGAGCCAUAAAUACUAAUGAAGUUUCUGAAGGAUCUAUUUGCACGAUCAACCCAAUAUAUUCGACGGUGCGCACAUACGCGUCUAUGACACGCGUGGCCCUUGCGCUUAUAUGCAUCCGUGAUAGACAAAGAGAUAAAAAAAGUAAUGUUUACUUUAUUUAACAGUAUUGCAACUGAACAACGAAUAACUGAUGAAAUGAAUAUAAAAAAAGAGCACUUAAAAAUUCCAUUAACAAAUGAAGUUUCGAAGAACGAGGCAAAUAAUCGUGUCAAUAAAGGAACCCAUGUGCUGAACGCAGAGAAUACUGAAUCGAACAAAUGUAGUGACAAAAAAGAACUUGGCUAUAACAAUAACUUUUCCAUUAACGCUCUGGAUGAUGUGAAAAAGAUUGAUACGAUAUCCGAAUGCUGCACUAUUCAAAGCACAAGCGUAAAUUCAAAUUUGGCACAGGAUUCAUUAUUCAUGAACAUUAAUGAAAAGUUUGUUAAUACGGCAACACAAACAGAACAUCGUUACAUAAUUAAAGCUGUAAGAAGUUGUCCGUGUCAGAAACCAGAAUUACCUCUUCAUUGGCGGUUGCAUUUAUACAUGCAUUUUCUGACGGUUAACCGCUUUACAGCUUCGUCCAAGUCUGAAAUUCGAUUCUCUAAUAAGAUCGGAAAGCUACCAAGAGAUUUUUUAAUGUUGCAACGAAAGGCCUCUGAUAAUCUAAUUUAUGAAAAGGCUAAGGGCAGUGGUAGUCCUAGUCACAUUUCUACCCCAGUACGAUUCUCCUGGCGAUAUAUCAUGCCCAAAAAAAUUGUUUAGGUUGCAUCUACAAUUAAUACUACAACUACACAUAAUGUCAAUCUCAUGUUAUGCAUUUAUUACUUGCUAGAGAGAUAUAUAACAGAUAUAUAUUAUACAUCCUGUAUAUAUCUGGAGUAUCGAAUUUUUGCUAGCAAAGUAUAUCUCCACAAAAACGGGCCAAAACACAUCCUGAAGCAGAAAAAAAGCAAAAACGCACUUCUCUUAACUCGCCAUUAAUCCCUUUAUGGUAAUGUAAAGCGGUCACCCAUCUACACAUUGUACACCGUUUCUGUUGUUUAAACUUAAUAAUCAUCCAGCAUCCUCAUCCACCUCUGACGCGUCCUUCUAUUAAGGAUAGUGUCACAAACUGCCAAUUACUAAAAAAACAGACACAUCUUGAAGUUCGACUAAAAUACGUGAUGAGCAAAGAUAAGCCCUAAGAUAACUAACUAGUAUGCAUAUAAUAAUCAUUAAGACAAAGUCAUUAUCUAUCUGUGGAUCCUUGAGGUUGAUUGGAGCUCCACUGUAUAUGCUUAUUCACAUAAAAUAUCAAUAAAAUGUGUCUAGUAUGUGUCUAGUAUGUUAGUGUACACCGGAAGCACUUCUGACAUAAAGUAUGUG